AGGGGUAUAGUUCUUCGGAACUAGAGACCGGCGCACGGGUGCGUAACGCGUAUGCAAUCUACCUUUUACAGAGGGAUAGCCCAGAGAAAUUUGGAUUAAUACCUCAUAGUAUGUGAGAAUCGCAUGGUUUUCACAUUAAAGUUCCAACGGUAAAAGAUGAGCAUGCGUCCCAUUAGCUAGAUGGUAAGGUAACGGCUUACCAUGGCGACGAUGGGUAGGGGUCCUGAGAGGGAGAUCCCCCACACUGGUACUGAGACACGGACCAGACUCCUACGGGAGGCAGCAGUGAGGAAUAUUGGACAAUGGGCGCAAGCCUGAUCCAGCCAUGCCGCGUGCAGGAUGACGGUCCUAUGGAUUGUAAACUGCUUUUGUACAGGAAGAAACACUCCCUCGUGAGGGAGCUUGACGGUACUGUAAGAAUAAGGAUCGGCUAACUCCGUGCCAGCAGCCGCGGUAAUACGGAGGAUCCAAGCGUUAUCCGGAAUCAUUGGGUUUAAAGGGUCCGUAGGCGGUUUAAUAAGUCAGUGGUGAAAGCCCAUCGCUCAACGGUGGAACGGCCAUUGAUACUGUUAAACUUGAAUUAUUAGGAAGUAACUAGAAUAUGUAGUGUAGCGGUGAAAUGCUUAGAGAUUACAUGGAAUACCAAUUGCGAAGGCAGGUUACUACUAAUGGAUUGACGCUGAUGGACGAAAGCGUGGGUAGCGAACAGGAUUAGAUACCCUGGUAGUCCACGCCGUAAACGAUGGAUACUAGCUGUUGGGAGCAAUCUCAGUGGCUAAGCGAAAGUGAUAAGUAUCC
rnacentral:rRNA from 1 species